rnacentral:rRNA from 1 species
AGUGAACGCUGGCGGUAGGCCUAACACAUGCAAGUCGAACGGCAGCACAGUAAGAGCUUGCUCUUACGGGUGGCGAGUGGCGGACGGGUGAGGAAUACAUCGGAAUCUACUUUUUCGUGGGGGAUAACGUAGGGAAACUUACGCUAAUACCGCAUACGACCUACGGGUGAAGCAGGGGAUCUUCGGACCUUGCGCGAUUGAAUGAGCCGAUGUCGGAUUAGCUAGUUGGCGGGGUAAAGGCCCACCAAGGCGACGAUCCGUAGCUGGUCUGAGAGGAUGAUCAGCCACACUGGAACUGAGACACGGUCCAGACUCCUACGGGAGGCAGCAGUGGGGAAUAUUGGACAAUGGGCGCAAGCCUGAUCCAGCAAUACCGCGUGGGUGAAGAAGGCCUUCGGGUUGUAAAGCCCUUUUGUUGGGAAAGAAAAGCAGCAGGUUAAUACCCCGCUGUUCUGACGGUACCCAAAGAAUAAGCACCGGCUAACUUCGUG